AUGCCGCAUCGGACGACAAUGAAAUCUAGAGAGGCUCUAUGGCUCAGGUCGCCACGAAACCAGCGGCCCAUCCGGCACCUUGUGACACAAGUGAAGGAAACAACAUGCAAGGUGUACAGAAACAGCGUGGGAUCGACCAGAACGAUACCGCCUGGGCCGGAUGAAGAAGCAACUGAGAUGGAAUUAUGGAAGAAGAGGCUAACACCACACACAUCCAGAUUUCAUGGCGUGAUUGGCCCACUUGAACACAAACCACAGGACGUCAACAACACAGGGCCUAUGGAACCUUGUCCUCUGGUCCAACCAUUGCUUCUCCUCGUGACACCUGUGGUCUACGGUGACAGGGCCUUGGCUGGCGGCUAA
rnacentral:rRNA from 1 species